rnacentral:lncRNA from 1 species
CAGUACGGAUAUGAAGAUGAAUAAUAUAUCACAAUAAGUAAUGAAUCUAAAUGAGUUGAAUAAAUGAACACAUGUGAAUUACAAACGAAUUACGAAUAGAUCAAAAUUUGAGAGUCCAUUUACAAAUGACUAACACUGUCAAUCGAAUAAUUUUAGCCAAAAGAAUCCCAAACAAAUAAGGCUGAAUCAAAUGGUUGUAAGAUAAUAAUUUCAUACUGAGCUCAAAUACAAAUAGCCAAAGGCUAACAAAAUACAUCGGUACCAUGCUGUAUACAAAUCAAAUCAGAUAGUACGCACGACACAUACGUCACUAAUCCGCCAAAUAAAUCGAAUCAAAUCAAAUACUGGGUCGACCCAUACGUAUCCUGAACAAAUAUUUCAAAUGGCCAAAGCUCAUACUCCGAGCAUACAAAAGGAUACGCCGUGGACUGAUCACACCGCCACGGAAGGUGUCAUGCCCUUGUGUCAAGAGCACAUGUAUGUGGUGCCCCCACAGGUGGUUAGCUCAAGUAUACACUAAGGAUCAAACUACAAAAUGUAAGCCAAAAGGGGUUCAAAUCACAAGGCUUACAUGACCAUAUUCAAAUGAAAUCGAAUUAUCAAAUACAAAUAAUAUUCAUUAUCCCAAUAUAUCAAUGAUAAAAAAUAACUCCUGAAUGUGAACAAAAAUAUACGAACAAUGGUACAAACGAAUAAAGUCUCCAAAACAUAUUGACACGAUUAACUAGUUUCAAGAGUACAAAUACGAAUUAUAAUAUCAACGCCAAAGCGAAACUAUCUCAAUAAUUUUGACAACAAAGAAUAAUCCGGAGAGGCAAUACCAAAUCUCUAAACGAAUACAAAACGAACGAAUUAAAUUUAAAGGAGUAUCGCUGAAAAAAGUACAGAAUCCGUACCUUAAUAAAGUACCAAAAUAAUUCGCCGAAUCCAAAUAUCACCCGCUAAACUCCC